rnacentral:misc_RNA from 1 species
GAUGAAGAACGCAGCGAAAUGCGAUAAGUAAUGUGAAUUGCAGAAUUCAGUGAAUCAUCGAAUCUUUGAACGCAUCUUGCGCUCCUUGGUAUUCUGAGGAGCAUGCCUGUUUGAGUGUCAUUAAAUUCUCAACUACACUGACUUUGAAUUGGUGUGGCUUGGAUUUGGGGGGAAAAUUGUUGUGGGCUUUUUGUAUAGUCUGCUCCCCUGAAAUUGAUUAGCGGUACCUUUGUGGAACUGUCUACAGGUGUGAUAAUUAUCUACAUCUUAGACAUCUGCUGGAAUGCUGCUUUCUAAACCUUACUUGUAUUGACAAUCUUGACCUCAAAUCAGGUAGGACUACCCGCUGAACUUAAGCAUAUCAAUAAGCGGAGA